UACAGAGGGUGCGAGCGUUGUCCGGAAUCACUGGGCGUAAAGGGCGCGUAGGCGGCCGGGCAAGUCCGUGGUGAAAGCUCGUGGCUCAACUGCGAGUCGGCCACGGAGACUUUUCGGCUCGAGUCUGGUAGAGGCUCAUGGAAUUCCACGUGUAGCGGUGAAAUGCGUAGAGAUGUGGAGGAACACCAGUGGCGAAGGCGACUCUUUGGCCUGUAACUGACGCUGAGGCGCGAAAGCGUGGGGAGCAAACAGG
rnacentral:rRNA from 1 species